AGUCUGCAACUCGACUGCACGAAGCUGGAAUCGCUAGUAAUCGCAGAUCAGAAUGCUGCGGUGAAUACGUUCCCGGGUCUUGUACACACCGCCCGUCACACCAUGGGAGUCGGAAAUGCCCGAAGCCGGUGACCCAACCAAAAGGAGGGAGCCGUCGAAGGCAGGUCUGAUAACUGGGGUGAAGUCGUAACAAGGUAUC
rnacentral:rRNA from 1 species